AGUACCUGAAAAGCGUUAAAUUGAUUGAUUGAUUGUUUGUUUAUUUGAUCAAUUUUCCUUGGACAGGAAAAGCCACUAGAAUGCUGGCAUAAAAACCUGCUUCUUUUCGGUUAAAAAAAAUACAAUUAUAAAGUAAAUAAUGAACUGCGGCUGAAGACAGAACUCCAUCGGUGGAAACCUUUACAGGAGUUCGGAACUGGCUGUUACGGGCUGGAAAGAAAAUAAAAGAAAAAAAGAACCUACGAGAUGAAUGUGGCAAAUGAAAAUAUAGAAUGGACAACUGUAUCGGAACAAUAAAGGAAACAUGAAGUUGAGCUAGAUACAAUUUCAAACGAUCUUUGAAAAUGCUUAGGGAUGAACAUAAGCCAAAUUUAUUAAAAAAGAAAUUGAAGUAAUUAGCACCUUUGAAGGUUAUACUACGUUCACCAGACAAAGUGGAAACAUUUGGACGUUUAAGCAGAUUAUGAUUUCUUGUACCAUGUUGGUGAGAAGAAAGUUCGAAUUUUGUAUUUGUAUGAGUUUGGUUAGAUAAACUUUUAUAUAUAAAAGAACAAACUUGAAUAAUGUAAAUUCCUCUGACAGGCAUAAUGUUUUUCUCUUUAGUAUAUAGAUCAACGGUAUGACUUCUAAGUGGAAGGUUGAAAAUCGAUUUAAGAAAUUUGUUUUGUACUAUUUGAAGUUUAUUUAGAAGAUAAUCGUAAGUAUUCCCCCAGACGGCAGUUAAGUAAGACAGUAAAGAGUUGAAUAAAGAAUGAUAGAUCAG